rnacentral:sRNA from 1 species
AGGGACAGCGGGCCACAGCAGCUAGUGAGACGAGGUUUCGGAAUGCGGUCUACAAAGUAGCGUGAGAGGAUUUUCCAAAAUUCCAGAAAGAUCACCGAUAACGCACAGCCACCAUCACCUAAGAAGCCCAUUGAUUUAGUUAAUAUGCUGUUUCAGCGCCAGCCUGGAUGUCUUCGAAGGCGAGAUUAUUGUCUUUCUAAAUGACAAUGCCAAAACGUCUCAUAUUGUGUAUUUACCAAGUUGUUUUCCAGCAGAAAGGCUCAACAUAUCGAUAUAUCACCCCAAAAAAGGAGGGUAUGCCAAAGAGAUCCUAAUGCUAUAGGGUCGAAAUUCGGAGAUGUGCAAAAUAAUAGGCCAAGUAUCAAACCGAAAAUGUCAUUUGCGCGCGCUGAACGUAUAUGCGAUCAAAACUCCAAUCUCAUAAUCAUCAUAGUAUGGGAGGAUGAAGAAGAAGAAGAGGGGAAAAAGCCAGGUAGUAUAAGGAUAUAAAUAAUCAUUGCGCUGACACUAAAAGGGACAAUGCUAUCAAGAAACUCCAAAAGAAAAGAGAACAAGGAAAUAAGAGUGGUCUAAUCAGAGAUUCAUCGUCACCGUCAUACUAUUACUAUGAACCAGCAGACACGGAGGGAGUCCAUUGCACAAGAUAUCAAGAUCGCCCACAUAAGAUUCGCUAGCAGCCUUGUCGCGCCAGGUUCCUUCUAUCGGCGAUGGUAAGGUCGUGAAAAUAACUGCUGUUUUUUGACUGUUGUUUUGUAUCAGCUCGUUUAGUAUCAUAUGUUGCGCGCGACAUGGAAGGUCGUUAAACGAGAGCGGCACGAUAUUCUGGGUUGAGGGGCCGGAAGGUGGGGAUCGGUUCGGUGGGGAAUUGGAGGGAGAUGCCGUAGAUUGUGCUUCAGGCUGUCUUGCGUAUAUUGAAUGGCGUGGAGUUGAUGGACCGGCUGAUGAGCGGUCUCUGGGCGGGCUGGUGGCAAACAUGAUUGAUGGGCCUGAAUCUUCUUUAUCGGCCACUCGGGUAGCGGGGAUAGGUGAGGACGAAAACUUGUUGCUUGAGGCUGUUCGGGGUUUGAGAGGGCGACUUGGGGGAGGUGAACCUAGCGGACCCGGUUCGUUUGUGAUGGUAAUGGUUGGGCCAUGAUGAUGUGGUGGUACGACUUCAGGUUCAGAUGAACUCGACGGCUCGUCUUCAACAGCAGUCUCUGUAAGGGCUCUGGGCAAAACAUGGCCCAUCUGGUGGCGUCUGGAUUUGUGUAGACCAGUCCGAAUUGCUCUUCUUAUUCCUGUAUCCUCAGUAUUUCCUUCGGAACGCUGUGCAGAACUCGAUGCAUCUUCCUCAUCGCCGUCACUGUCACUCAAAUAUGUUUCGAUAUCGCUAUCAUGACUUGAAGACUCUGAACUGCCAUCUGAAUGGUAGUCCACCAUUGUAUCCAGAAACCGCUGUGUUUGUGUACCAACGGAGAAACCCAUCGCGCCAAAGCUACCAAUGGACCUUCUCUUUUUUGAACUUUCAAUCAACGUCCGCAAGUUGUCGAGUCGCGAACCAGUGUCUCCGUUACGUCCACGCUGGAACGAAGAGGUUGGCCAUUGUGGUAUUGCUCCGGGAUGCGACACCCGUUGUCCCACUUUGCUUCCAUUCUGUUGACCGGGCCAUUCGGUUCGGAGGAGGCGGACAUCCUGCCACCAACCUUCAUCCUUCAAUAAAAGAUUCACGGAUUCGACGGUAACCUGGUCAAUCCCGGACUCAUCGCCAUUGACGAUUAUCUGGUAUGACUUCAAAUCACCGCUAGCAAGCCAAAAGACAAGGACCUCCGCUUCGAUUCGAAGUUUCUCAAGCAAUGUUGUCACUCUUCUGCGCUCCUCUUCAACAUCGCUUUCGUAUUCCACAAAUACCGCCACACGAAGACAGUAUGACUUUUUCCAGGAAGACACUGUGUUCAAAAUGCAUCCGAGCUGUAAAAUUAGAGUAUAUGUAUCGAAGUUGGUUGUCAGAAUGUUUUGUUUACUCGCGCCGUCCGCCGUUAUUUCCGCGGACAUCUGGAUAGGCCAUAAAUCAAUGUAUUUCUUUGUACUUUUGCCACUCGCGGGUUGCUCAAGUUGGUCAAAGCCCUUAGCCACAGCCACAUUGAUCCGUAAUUUGAACAACAGGUCCUCC